rnacentral:ribozyme from 14 species
ACGCCGGGAAGGUUGAAAAGGUGCUGAAGGAGAAGAGGAAGAACCUGGAGAGCGUCACCAUCACCAUGCAGCAGAAGCUCUACAAGCAUCAGCUGGAGCAAGAGGCCGCCAAGGAGGGCGACAAGA